CAAACGGCCCUUUUCAGGGCCACCAUACCAGCAUGAAAGAUAUUGU
rfam:Strongylocentrotus purpuratus Contig56222_fixed, whole genome shotgun sequence.